UUUGGAGUCAGACUACUUGAACUUGAAUCCUGGCCCUCUCAUCAGAGACUUGACUUAUUUUAGGCUGUGGCUUGCCUUUUCACUUCUUGUGUCCUGUUUAAGAAAUAUCUGCUAUCCCAAGCAUCUGGCAUCUUUCUUGACAUACGUAGCAGUUGCUUUUUGACAGCUUGCUUCUGGAGUGAAUGAAUAAAUUAAUAAAUUUAUUCAUUUGAUAUUCAGUGACAUGUGAUAUUCAGUGAUCCAUUUUGCAGAUUGCAAACUCCUAGAGAAGGGCUCAACAGUGAGUGUUGAGGCUGCACAGAGGAGGAAGGUAGCACAAUGAUGGAAGGCUUCCUAAAGAGGUCAGCUCCUGAAUCAAUUAAAAAAAAAAAACAACAGUGACAACGAAACUAAAAAAUAUGAAGAGGCUGAAACAUGAAAGCUCUGCCAACUGCAAUAUGUAGCUGCUAAGGUUGCUGUGUUUACUGGCAUCAAGCAAGUGUUCCAGGAAAGAGCACAGAAGAUGUGUCUGGGAGCCUUUAUGUGUAGAUAACACUAACAAAGUUGACCUUAGAAUUGGAGUGCCCGGGUUAGAACCUUGCUGGUACCACCUGCUUACUGCAUGCUUCUGAUGUGAGUUCAGGAGAAGCCACUGGCAAGGACAGCAAAGAACAGGAGAACACUCUAGCUUCCCUGAUAGCAUUCAAGGUGCUGUCCAAA
rnacentral:lncRNA from 1 species